rnacentral:tRNA from 1 species
GGGCGCAUAGCUCAGCGGGAGAGCACUUCCUUGACAUGGAAGGGGUCACAGGUUCAAUCCCUGUUGUGCCCACCA